rnacentral:SRP_RNA from 1 species
GCUGGGUGUGGUGGCGGGCGCCUGUAAUCCCAGCUACUCAGAGGCUGAGGUAGGAGAAUUGCUUGAACCCAGGAGAUGGAGGUUGCAGUGAACUAAGAUCGUACCACUGUACCCCCAGCCUGGGCAACAAAGCAAGACUCCAUCUCAA